AGAGUUUGAUCCUGGCUCAGGAUGAACGCUAGCUACAGGCUUAACACAUGCAAGUCGAGGGGAAACGACAUCGAAAGCUUGCUUUCGAUGGGCGUCGACCGGCGCACGGGUGAGUAACGCGUAUCCAACCUGCCCACCACUUGGGGAUAACCUUGCGAAAGUAAGACUAAUACCCAAUGAUAUCUCUAGAAGACAUCUGAAAGAGAUUAAAGAUUUAUCGGUGAUGGAUGGGGAUGCGUCUGAUUAGCUUGUUGGCGGGGUAACGGCCCACCAAGGCGACGAUCAGUAGGGGUUCUGAGAGGAAGGUCCCCCACAUUGGAACUGAGACACGGUCCAAACUCCUACGGGAGGCAGCAGUGAGGAAUAUUGGUCAAUGGACGAGAGUCUGAACCAGCCAAGUAGCGUGCAGGAUGACGGCCCUAUGGGUUGUAAACUGCUUUUAUAAGGGAAUAAAGUGAGUCUCGUGAGGCUUUUUGCAUGUACCUUAUGAAUAAGGACCGGCUAAUUCCGUGCCAGCAGCCGCGGUAAUACGGAAGGUCCGGGCGUUAUCCGGAUUUAUUGGGUUUAAAGGGAGCGUAGGCCGGAGAUUAAGCGUGUUGUGAAAUGUAGAUGCUCAACAUCUGCACUGCAGCGCGAACUGGUUUCCUUGAGUACGCACAAAGUGGGCGGAAUUCGUGGUGUAGCGGUGAAAUGCUUAGAUAUCACGAAGAACUCCGAUUGCGAAGGCAGCUCACUGGAGCGCAACUGACGCUGAAGCUCGAAAGUGCGGGUAUCGAACAGGAUUAGAUACCCUGGUAGUCCGCACGGUAAACGAUGGAUGCCCGCUGUUGGUCUGAAUAGGUCAGCGGCCAAGCGAAAGCAUUAAGCAUCCCACCUGGGGAGUACGCCGGCAACGGUGAAACUCAAAGGAAUUGACGG
rnacentral:rRNA from 1 species